UCCAAUCACAUCGGCGGAAACGAGGUUACUAGGCGACGCUUUAAGGUCGUCCUCAACUUGGAAGGGAGGGCAGUUGUUUUCCCCCCCGAAAAGAAGCCGAACACCAAACCAAGUGCGGGUUGCUAAGCAACACCUGAGCGUUGUUUUCUGGGAGAGGAGCCAGAAACUGGCUUAGAACGUAAAUACAUUCCAGGUGGAUUAAAAAUUGGUUACUAGGCAACGAUCGCUGGACUCAACCACCCUCGA
rnacentral:lncRNA from 1 species